UAGGGAAUCUUCGGCAAUGGGGGCAACCCUGACCGAGCAACGCCGCGUGAGUGAAGAAGGUUUUCGGAUCGUAAAGCUCUGUUGUAAGUCAAGAACGGGUGUGAGAGUGGAAAGUUCACACUGUGACGGUAGCUUACCAGAAAGGGACGGCUAACUACGUGCCAGCAGCCGCGGUAAUACGUAGGUCCCGAGCGUUGUCCGGAUUUAUUGGGCGUAAAGCGAGCGCAGGCGGUUUGAUAAGUCUGAAGUUAAAGGCUGUGGCUCAACCAUAGUUCGCUUUGGAAACUGUCAAACUUGAGAGCAGAAGGGGAGAGUGGAAUUCCAUGUGUAGCGGUGAAAUGCGUAGAUAUAUGGAGGAACACCGGUGGCGAAAGCGGCUCUCUGGACUGUAACUGACGCUGAGGCUCGAAAGCGUGGGGAGCGAACAGG
rnacentral:rRNA from 1 species